CCACGAGUACAUCUACACCAGCAGCACCUCAGGCGCCUCCAGUUGCUCCUCCACCUCAGGCGACUACAGUUGAUCAUCCAGUUGGGCCAAUCACUCGGGCCCGUGCGAGAGAAUUAAACUUCAUCAUGCUGUUAAGGAACGAAGGCCGAGCGGAAUAAGAAGAUGGCCCAAUAGGGCAGCCCAGGUGGGGCGCCUAGGGUUGGGAGCCGCGGCCCUCCCCCUGGUCGCGCGCACCCCCCUCCUGCCGUCGCGCCUCCUCUGGACUCCAGGGGCUGCGCCCCCUUUAUUUAGUCGGAGUCCCUUUUGUUUACGAAUUGAGUUUUGUUUUACAUCUAGCUUUAGCUACUCUUGAACACGCGCAAAUACGCGCUGUCCUUGUGUGAUUCAGAACUCCACCUUCGACUGAUAUUUAGAUUGCUCGCCUCUUUUUCUUGUUCGUUCUUCGAUUGCGGAUAGGAAUCGAUCUUCGUGAUCAGGCUGAUCUUGCGCUGGCAAGGUUGGUAACCACAGGAAGUUGGUUCAGUGAUUGCAUUGGUGCUUCGGGUUCGCUCGUCGUAGUCAGAUCGUGAGGGUCUACUUCCACCAAGUCGAAUUUAUCUCCACUCACCGAAAGAUCGGGCACUCCGACUCUAUCAAGUGGUAUCAGCUUUCCAGGUUGAUCGGUGAGUUUUACCGAGUGUUUUUCCCUUCCUACAUUCCACAAAAAGCAAAACAAAUUUUUUUCAGGUUAGAUCCUUGUCCCAGCAACCGUUUAGCCUCGCACAUUCUUUCAAUAAUUAUCUUUGUUGAAUUUGUGUGCCUACUCGUUCCAUUGUUGCUGGUUACUUGUGUUUAAUCUCUUGUUUCUCAUUUUUCCUCUAACCCUAGUUUUCGCCGCCGCCGCCGUUCCGCUGCUCGCCAACCCUACCACGCCGCGCCCACCGGCCCCCUUCGCGACAACCGUGCCGCGCCAUCCCACCCCUCCGAUCGCCCCCUCCCCUGUCCAAAAAAAAAGAAAGAUAGAAAGCAAUAAAAAAAAAGGAAAGUGCAAAAAAAAAGGAAAGAAGCAAAAAAAAAAAGAAUCCAACAGGGAGAAGGAAGGUGAUCCGGUUUUGUUUCGGUGGAAACUCCCUUUGCGCGCGCCGUGAACCCCCCUGGGUCACGACACUCCUGGGGAACCCCGCACCCCCCACGCAUCCUGUGCCAGCUUUUCAUAUCCGUAUCUCUCUUUCUUGGUACAUUUUUCUGAGGUUCUCUCUUUUUUUACCGGAAUACCCCUGUACUUUCGGAAAAAGUGUGUGCCGCAAUUUGCUGUUUGUGAUCCUCUGUGUUCAUAUUAUCAGUUUUGGGCACCCUGCAAAAAAAAACAAAACAAAAAGAAAACAAAAGAGGUGCGCCCUCUCCACCUUUGCCUCUGUUCUUUCGAUUUCCCUUGUUACCAGCAACUCUUGUUACGUGUUUGGCACUAUAAUUCAACUUUGCAUUAUUGUUUGAUUGUGCUAAUCCUUCAUUUGAGUGCAGCCUUCCCAAAAAUCCACAUAGUUCUACGACAAGCAGCUUUUGUUUCUCUAGGCAAUCGCUCCUCCAAUCUUUCACAAGUUCCACCGGUUGGUUGCAGUUCGCCCCUGUGUGCGUGGUAAGAACGGAUAAGAAUUUGAUAACAGCACUAGUGUGAGCGCCUUGUGAGCCGUUACACCCCUGUUUUGUCGUCGCUUUUGUUCUUGUAUUUGCGCUAACCAUGGCAGAUGAUGUCGACACGGGGGCUAACGAGCUGCAGGGCAUACGGGCACAAGUUGAAGGGCUUGUCACCGACAUUCAGACGAUUCAUGAACAGCUGGACUCGACGAUCUCCUCGACGACCAAGAGGUGUGAUUAGCUCGACCUUGCACAGACGGCCGCUAAGGCCACACUCGACUCAGUUGUGGCAAGACUCGAUGCCUUUCACACAACAGUCGCAGAGUUGCAGCAGGGUUAUGGUGGUGACUCGAACCAGGACGAUGGCGACCGCCGAGGCCGUGCCCGCCGCGUGCCACGCCGUCCUGAUAAUGAUUCCUUUUCCAAGAUUAAAUUUAAAAUUCCACCUUUUAAUGGCAAAUAUGAUCCUACUGCAUAUCUUGAUUGGGAAUUAGAAGUUGAACAGAAAUUUUCAUGCCAUGAUAUUCUUGCUAAUUCUCAAGUUAAAGCUGCUAUUAGUGAAUUUACUGAUUUUGCUUUAAUUUGGUGGCGUGAAUAUAAACACAAACAUCCCAAUACCAUUCCAACCACUUGGGAGCAAUUAAAAACUGCUAUGCGCCAAAGAUUUGUGCCUUCUUAUUAUGCCCGAGAUUUGCUUAAUAAAAUGCAACGUUUUCAGCAAGGUUCCAAAUCUGUUGAGGAAUAUUUCCAGGAAUUACAAAUAGGCAUGAUUCGUUGUGGAUUAUUGGAGGAAAAUGACGCUGCUAUGGCACGUUUUCGUGGUGGUUUGAACCGCGAAAUUCAGGAUAUACUUGAUUAUAAGGACUACACAGAUAUGACAACAUUAUUUGAAUAUGCUUGCAAAGCUGAACGUGAAGUGCAGGGACGCCGCUCGAAGACAUAUUCUAACUCUUUUGCAGGAAGAAGCUCGACAUCCAACUCCGCACCCGCUCUCCCUGCGCCACCCACGCCCACCACUACACCGCGCGAGUGAACAGCCAAACCUGCAAGCGCUGCCCCUUCCACAGGUGCCGCCCCUCCCACAGGCCGUACACGGGAUAUUCAGUGUCAUCGUUGCAAAGGAUUUGGCCACGUGAUUCGGGACUGUCCGAACAAGCGCACUUUGCUUCUUCGUGACGAUGGUGAGUACUCUUCCGCUAGUGAUUCUGAAGAUACUCGACAUGCGAUGCUUGCCACUGACCAUGCAGCUAUGGAGGUACAUGUCAACCCGGGCGACGCCGAUAGGUAUGAAAGUCUUGUUGUGCAGCGUGUUCUUAGUACACAGGUCACCCCGUCCGAGAAGAAUCAGCGACACACUCUUUUCCAUACCAAGGGCGUUGUGUAGGAGCGGUCGAUUCGCAUCAUCAUCGACAGCGGCAGCUGCAACAAUUUGGCGAGUACCACGCUGGUUGAAAAGUUAUCUUUACCCACUCGUAAGCAUCCACAUCCAUAUCACAUUCAAUGGCUUAAUGAUGGUGGGAAAAUUAGAAUUACUCGAUCAGUCCGUGUUCCUUUCUCCAUGGGUGCUUAUUCUGAUUUUGUCGAUUGUGAUGUUAUUCCCAUGGAAGCAUGCUCUCUGUUACUUGGGCGACCAUGGCAAUAUGAUACUGAUAGCUUGCAUCAUGGUCGUUCAAAUCACUAUUCUUUCAUGUUUAAGGGUCAGAAAAUAAUUAUACAUCCAAUGACACCUGAACAAAUUCUUAAAGAUGAUCUUGCUAGAGCUGCUAAAACUGCUAAACAACUUGACGCAUCGCCAUCUGUUAAUUCUGAAAUCAAGUUGAAUGCUCCUGUUUUGCUUGCCACAUGUGCUGAUUUUGAUGAGUUACGCGAUGCUCCUUUGCCAUGCUAUGCCCUUAUAUGCUAACAUUUUUGCAGGAGUACGCUGAUGUCUUUCCAAAAGAUUUGCCACCGGGACUCCCACCACUUCGUGGCAUUGAGCACCAGAUCCACCUCAUUCCCGGCGCACAGCUUCCGAACCGCGCACCGUAUCGGACAAAUCCAGAUGAGACGAAGGAAAUCUAGCGCCAGGUACAGGUGUUGCUUGACAAGGGUUAUAUUCGUGAGUCUCUUAGCCCUUACUCCGUUCCCGUGUUACUUGUUCCAAAGAAAGAUGGCUUAUGGCGUAUGUGUGUAGACUGUCGUGCUACUAAUAACAUUACCAUUCGCUACGGAUACCCUAUACCACGCCUUGAUGAUAUGCUAGAUGAGCUUAGUGGUGCCAUUAUUUUCACUAAGAUUGAUUUGCGUAGUGGCUACCAUCAGAUUCGCAUGAAAUUAGGUGAUGAAUGGAAAAUGGCUUUUAAAACAAAAUUUGGGUUAUAUGAAUGGUUGGUUAUGCCGUUUGGUUUGACAAAUGCUCCCAGCACAUUUAUGCGUUUGAUGAAUGAAGUUCUGAGGCCGUUCAUAGGAUUGUUUGUAGUUGUCUAUUUUGAUGAUAUCCUCAUUUACAGCAAGUCUAUGGAAGAGCAUUUAGAAUAUUUACGUGCUGUUUUUGAUGCGUUGCGUGCGGCCCAUUUAUUUGCUAACCUCGAAAAAUGCAUGUUUUGCACACAACGUGUCUCGUUUCUUGACUAUGUUGUUACUCCACAGGGCAUUGAGGUGGAUAGCAGCAAGAUCGAUGCCAUUCAGGAGUGGCCUACACCAACGACGGUCACACAAAUUCGAAGCUUUCUUGGCCUUGCAGGUUUCUACCGCCGGUUUGUUCGUGAUUUUAGCUCCAUUGCAGCGCCUCUACAUGAGCUUACAAAGAAGGAUGUUCCCUUUGCUUGGAGUGAUUCGCAAGAGGUUGCGUUCAGCACCUUGAAAGAUAAGUUAACCAAUGCUCCUCUCUUGCAGUUGCCUGAUUUUACUAAAGUGUUUGAGCUUGAAUGCGAUGGUAGCGGUAUUGGGCUAGGUGCUGUUUUGUUACAAGAAGGAAAACCGGUUGCUUACUUUAGCGAGAAAUUAAGUGGUGCUAGUUUGAAUUAUUCUACUUAUGAUAAGGAGCUUUAUGCUUUAGUGCGUACUUUGCAUACUUGGCAGCACUACCUUUGGCAUCGCGAGUUUAUAAUUCAUUCUGAUCAUGAGGCUUUAAAACAUAUUCGUACCCAAACAAACCUGAACCGUCGUCAUGCUAAAUGGGUAGAAUUCAUUGAGUCUUUCCCUUACAUUAUUAAACACAAGAGCGGGAAGGAAAAUGUCAUUGUUGAUGCUUUGUCUCGUCGCUAUACCAUGCUGUCACAGAUAGAUUUUAAAAUCUUUAGCUUGCAAACUGUGAAGGAUCAAUAUGUGGACGAUGCUGAUUUUAACGAUGCUUUCGCCCAUUGUAUUCAUGGCAAACCAUGGGGCAAAUUUCGCGCUAACAAGCUGUGUGUUCCAGCUAGCUCGGUUUGUUGUUUGUUGUUACAGGAAGCGCAUGGAGGCGGUCUCAUGGGGCACUUUGGCGUCAACAAGACGCAUGAAGUGCUGGCUGCCCACUUCCUUUGGCGCCGGAUGCGCGCUGAUGUUGAGCGCCUUGUUGCAUGCUGCACUACUUGCCAGAAAGCUAAGUCACGAUUGAACAACCAUGGUUUGUACAUGCCUUUGCCUGUUCCUACUGCCCCUUGGCUUGAUAUUUCUAUGGACUUUGUUUUGGGAUUGCCUAGAACUAAGAAGGGGAGGGACAGUAGUUUUGUGUUUGUUGAUCGUUUCUCCAAAAUGGCUCAUUUUAUACCUUGUCAUAAGACUGAUGAUGCUAGCAAUGUUGUUGAAUUGUUCUUUCGCGAGAUUAUUUGUUUGCAUGGUAUUCCAAAUACAAUAGUCUCUGAUCGUGAUGCUAAGUUUCUCAGUCAUUUUUGUAGAUCAUUGUGGAAUAAAAUUGGAAUAAAAUGGGAACUAAAUUGCUGUUUAGCACCACUUGUCACCCUCAGACUGAUGGACAAACUGAGGUGGUUAAUCAAACAUUGUCCACCAUGCUUAGGGCUUUUUUAGAUAAACACUUGAAACAUUGGGAAGAUUGCUUGCCUCAUGUUGAGUUUGCUUAUAAUCAUGCAACACAUUCUUCUACAAAGAUGUGUCCCUUUCAGGUUGUUUAUGGUUAUAUUCCUCGGGCGCCCAUUGAUUUGUUUGCACUUGAUGUCGAGGAUGCCCCACACAGAGAUGCCACUGCACAUGUUGAUCAAAUGAUUAGCUUGCAUGAGCAAACUCAACAAAACAUUGCUGCUGCUAAUGCUAAAUAUCAGGUUGUGGGUAGCAAAGGGAGAAAACAUGUUACUUUUGAACUGGGUGAUCUGGUUUGGUUGCAUUUGAGAAAGGAUCGUUUUCCUACUUUACGUCGUUCUAAAUUGAUGCCAUGUGCUGCUGGUCCUUUUAAAGUGCUAACCAAGAUUAAUGAUAAUGCUUAUAUCCUUGACCUGCCUGUGGAGUUUGGUGUUUCCACAAGUUUUAAUGUUGCAGAUUUGAAACCGUAUGCGGGCGGAGAUGAGUUGCCGUCGAGGACGACUUCAGUUCAAGAAGGGGAGGAUGAUGAGGACACAUCGAGUACAUCUACACCAGCAACACCUCAGGUGCCUCCAGUUGCUCCUCCACCUCAGGCGACUACAGUUGAUCAUCCAGUUGGGCCAAUCACUCGGGCCCGUGCGAGAGAAUUAAACUUCAUCAUGCUGUUAAGGAACGAAGGCCCAGCGGAAUAAGAAGAUGGCCCAACAGGGCAGCCCAGGUGGGACGCCUAGGGUUGGGAGCCGUGGCCCUCCCCCUGGUCGCGCGCCCCCCCCUCCUGCUGUCGCGCCUCCUCCGGACUCCAGGGGCUGCGCCCCCUUUAUUUAGUCGGAGUCCCUUUUGUUUACGACUUGAGUUUUGUUUUACAUCUAGCUUUAGCUACUCUUGAACACGCGCAAAUACGCGCUGUCCUUGUGUGAUUCAGAACUCCACCUUCGACUGAUAUUUAGAUUGCUCGCCUCUUUUUCUUGUUCGUUCUUC
rnacentral:lncRNA from 1 species